UAUUUAGUAUCUCGUUUUAGGUUUUAUCCAUAGAUUAUCCAUCGGGUGAUGGUAAUAAAACAGGAUUCGAGUUGGACUAUCUGUUGACGUGCUGGUUUUAUCCAUACAUUGUCCAUCGAGUGAUGGUAAUAAAACAGGAUUCGAGAUGGACUAUCUGUUGACGUGCUGGUUUUAUCCAUAGAUUGUCCAUCGGGUGAUGGUAAUAAAACAGGAUUCGAGUUGGACUAUCUGUUGACGUGCUGGUUUUAUCCAUAGAUUGUCCAUCGGGUGAUGGUGAUAAAACAGGAUUCGAGUUGGACUAUCUGUUGUCGUGCUGGUAGGUUUUUAUUUAAUAGUUUUAUUUAGUAUCUCGGUAUAGGUUUUAUCGAGUGAUGGUAAUAAAACAGUGGUAAUAAACAGUGAUGUGAUGUAGUGUGAUUUGAGAAAUAAAAUAAA